GAUGAAGAACGCAGCGAAAUGCGAUAAGUAAUGCGAAUUGCAGAAUUCCAGUGAGUCAUCGAAUCUUUGAACGCACAUUGCGCCCUUUGGUAUUCCGAAGGGCAUGCCUGUUCGAGCGUCAUUAUCAACCCUCAAGCCCGGCUUGCGGUUGGGUCCCGCCGUGGGCGACCACGGCGGACCCGAAAGGUAAUGGCGGUGCCCGCGGGGCCCUGGACGCAGCGAGCUUCUCGGCACGCGUCCCAGCGGUCCCCGGCGCCGUCUCCGCCAAUCCACCACGCAGAUUGACCUCGGAUCAGGUAGGGAUACCCGCUGAACUUAAGCAUAUCAAUAAGCGGAGGA
rnacentral:misc_RNA from 1 species